rnacentral:lncRNA from 1 species
ACUCUGUAGUCUCUGUAUAACACUCAUCUUCUCAAUCAACAUAUCCCCGAGCAACUGUUUAUCUGAAAAGGGUUAAUGAUAGGGUGAGCAUUUCCACUUGCUCAGUAGUGACUCACAUUUCCAAAAUACUAUCUAAUCAUGCAUGACGAUUAACCAUUCUAAACAUUUGAAAGAAUGCAAGUUUUAAUAAUUGAAAGUAACUUUCUACCGUAAAUAAUCAAUAAUAUACAAGCAUUCAAACAAUAAGUCGGGUACCUGUAUCCUAUCAGCGUGCUGAGGGUACGACUGGUACUCGGCCCCCAGUCCAGGCAAUACCUUAGUUCAGUACUUACCGGUGUGAACCUGCACUGUUAGUUCCUGAUUAUCCGGUCGGGUGAUUACCGUUUUUGUGCUCGAGCACACUAGCCCUCUUCUAGGGCUCAGGUGGGCCCUCUAACCACGACGCCCCGAGGGGGGAAUCAUCUAUCACGGUGGUCAACCGUUUGACGACUACAGACUCCUCAGGAUCCUGACACACGUCAAGGAGUGGACUACCUAUCACUCCCCGCGUCUAACCUCCUCGAGGUAGCAUGUAUCCCCACAACACACUAACCAUCCACAGCAAAUACCACUAAAAGCAUGGCAAUCCAGGAAGGUAGAAGAGAAAUUCCCGAAAACAUCCUACAAUGUUCGCCUCUAGAAAGUGCCCAUUCACCGUCUAAAGGUGAAAACUGCAUAUGUAAUCUUACAAAGAACUAUCAUCUCUAGAAUAUGACAACAAUUCCUUCUUUGUAGGAAUUCAAGGAUCCCUUGCCAGACCGCCUCGUGAUACAAUAUUUAUAUAUAAUAUAUAGGGUGUCUUUUAAUAAUAAUUAAUUUAAUCUGGCAUGUGUGACGACUCCCUGAAUUUAUCAACCAUCAAACCAGUCCUCUAUUCACGGCUACCCUAACUGGGCCAAAGCCGAAGAGACUAUCCCCUAUUCCAUGGCUACCCUAACCGGGCCAAAACCAAAGGGAUUAUAAUCCGAUCUGUAAUAAUAUGUUCGUGUAAGCACCGAGAUCAUAUUCCUAAUUCAGGAACCUCACACCAUACCAACAUACAACUGGGAUCCCACAUCCCACAUACAAAAUCCAUCUCUUUUUUCCCAUCCUGGAAAAGAGAUGCAAUAAAAACUUCAAUAGCUUUUCCGUUUAUAAAACCAUUUCAAUAGACAUAUACUGUUUUAAUAACUCCAGUAUAAAACAUGAUAUCUAUAACUAAUCCUUUUAAUAGAACUACAAUCGAUAAACCACGAGUAAUCUAUAUAUACCAAACAAAACCAUGCAUGCAUUUUUAUCAUCAAUAAUAUAUCAAUUAAUUUGCAACAUUUAAAAUAUGACACAUGAAAAGACAGUAUAAAAGAAAUGUAAGUCCAUACCUUAUCGUGCUCCUGAAUAUCACGUUCCAAUCCAAAUACCCGAGUUAGUCCAAUGUCCCCCUCUCGUAAUUGACAUCAAAUCCCUACAAACAAAUUGAUCAUUCAAAUCACCGAAAGAUGUUAUUCGAGGAACCACACUCUAUGUACUUCGUUUAAUUAGCCAUAAGCAAUUGCGCCGGCAAAGCCACUAAGACUAGAAAGUACUUCCCAUUCCAGGUGACAUUCUAUCACCUUCUUCCUAUUUCUUUUAUAUUUUUCCUGAAAUCUCCCAAAGCCUGCCACCUUCUUGAGCACUUGAUUAAUCGAACAAACUAAAACUAAAAGAAAAUCAACUAUACCAGUAAGUUAAUUAAGUUGGUCACCUCCCUUAAUUCAUAUUAGGCUUCCACAACUCGCAUGAGAAAGAAUCUAAGUCCAAAUACAUGUUACUAAAAUGGACAACUAGCUAUAUAUGCCUAAAAACAAGUUCUAAAACAUGAGAAUGUACCCGUCAGAACUGAAGCUUCUCUAGCUCUUGCAACAAAAAACCUUGGCAAGACAAUUACUUAGAAGGUCAACAACAUGAAUUUCUAUGAUGAAACCCCUGGUUCAUCUCUCUUUCCUUUCUUCAUCCUUAUUCCCUUGCUUUUCUUACUUUAACCUAGUUGAUAAGCUCAAUAAUAUGGACAAGUUCAUUUUUUUUUUUUUAAUGGUAAUUGACCAUGUGUGAGCUCUGCUACCGUGACUUAGGUUAGGUUACUCCCAAGUAACUUAGCUACUCCCCCACCCCUUUUUAGCACUUUUCUUUCCUAAAACAGCCAACCUUAUCCGUUUGAAGUUUGAACUCAAUUCACCGCCUUUUUUUAGCCAAUUCUGGCAUUUCUCAGCCCUAAACCUUGUUUUCCCCGGUGAUCAUGGCAGAUCUUGAACCCCAAAGCUCCCCAAUUUCUCCAGACCUAGCUUUCAACAAACACACAACCACCCAUAACCCCCUUAAUUCUGUCGUCACCCGUUCCUCUUCGUAUGGAACCAAGCUUGUCUAUAAUGGCCACACCCCCACCACAAUUAAAUGCUCAUUUUCAACAGGAACAAAAGGAAAUCGACGGAUCUGAGAAGGAAACUUGUGGAUCCAAGAAGGAAAAGUCUGAAGCUGAAGAAACAAGUAACUAAGCACCCACAACACAGAGAUGGAGCUCUCUGCUUCGUAAGCUGCCACCAUCGGCUGGUAAGGAUGAAUUAACUUUCAUAGAAUCCAAUUUUGAGCAUAAUCAACUUAUAGUAGAAGAAGAUAUCCUAGAAGAAGGAGCUAAGGAAUGGGAAAGUAGAGUGGUGGGUUUCUUCCUUGAUAAGAAACUACCAUACACACUAGUGAAAGACAUGGUUAUCAAGAAGUGGAAACCAAGGGGAAGUAAUUAUGUAGCCCUUGAUGGGGACAUGUUCUAUUUCAACUUUAACAAUGACGAAGAUCGGGAGGAGGUCGUUGAAGAAGGUCCAAUUGUUUUGGGAGGCAAGCUCUUUGUAGUACGAGCAUGGACAAGGGAAGUUGAAGAAAAUAGGGGGUCUGUUAACAGAGUUCCAGUAUGGGUUAAACUUUUCAAUGUGCCGAAGCAUCUUUGGAACAAAAAGGGAGUAAGCUAUCUUGGAAGUGUUAUAGGAAGACCGAUGUGUAUGGAUAGAACCAUAGAAGAGAAACAAAUGUUGACUUUUGCCAGAAUUUGUGUCGAAGUAGAUGCAAAAUCUACACUACCAGAUGAGAUCAAAUUGAAGACAAGAACAAGGAAGGAGUUGGUCAUACAUCUGGAGUACCCAUGGAAACCUUUACUUUGUACUGUAUGUAAAGUGUUUGGUCAUAGUGACAAUGGUUGUGAAAGGAAGAUCCCUGAGAAGAACAAGAGCAAGAAGAAACAAGUCAAUGCAGAUAGGGAAGAAGGGGAAUGGAUAGAGCCAGCAAAAGUAUGGAGGAAGAAACAUAAUGGAAACCACAAUUACCAACAAAACUCCAAAAACUGGAACUUAAACAAAGAGAAAGCCCAAACAAUACCAUCGGCUCAUGGUUAUAAGGUUAAGAACCAUAAUGCAGAGGCUUCUACUAGCAAGACUCACCACAAGGAAAAGACACCCAUACAACCAAGGAAGCCAACAACUACUACACAAGUAGAAAUACUGAAAAUUACAAGCAAUAAAUUCGAAGUCCUCGGCAACAUACAGGGGAAAGAACAAGUAAAUCAUGAGAAAGCAAUUGUUAUUGUAGGAACAGAAGAUGAUGAAACAUGGGAUGACACUGGGGAGAGUAAUGAAACUGACAAAUCAAACAGUGGCAAUGAACUGGAGGAGGGCACUGCAAGGCAGGUACAGAGGCCGCCAUGCCCAGACCCAUCUCAAUAUUUACUAUGCAAUAUACCAGAAAAACCAGUACAAAGUACAAGAAGAAGUGUGAGGCAGGCAAAAAGGGGGGAAGCUAAACUGAAGGAGACAACUCAGUUGGUGGAGGGAGACAAAACUGCAGGAAAGACUGCAGGCAAGAAAAAAAUUCUUAAGUGAUAUGGCUAGCAACUUAGCUACCUGGAAUAUCAUAGGACUCAAUAACCCCAGGAAAACUAAUGAGGUAAGGAAGUUAAUUACAGAUCAUUAUUUAAAAUUGGUUGGCCUUUUAGAAACUAAGGUGAAAGCUAGGAAUACAAACAUGGUACUUAGAAGAAUUAAUGACUGGAGUAGUGUCAAUAAUAACUCCAAGGACCAUAGAGGAAGGAUUUGGGUACUUUGGACCCAAAAUGUAUGACAGUACAAGUGAGUUACCUAACUGAUCAAGCAAUUCAUUGUGUGGUGGAGGAUAAGGUAGCUAAAACUGUGUACAGAAUGUCAGUAAUUUAUGGAAGGAAUACAAGAAGAGAAAGAAGUGUUCUGUGGGAAGACUUAAAACACUAUGCUAGAGGGAUUCCCAAUAACCAACCAUGGUUAUUGAUGGGAGAUUUCAAUGCAUGUAAAGAAAUUUCAGAGAAUGUUGGUGGAUCAAGACUACAUGACAGAGAUAUGAGAGACCUUUCAAAUUGCAUGGAAACAUGUGGCCUUGAAGAUCUUAAAGCAUGUGGCAGCUUUUACACAUGGACUAACAGAUCAGAAGGGCAAGAUAGAGUUUUAUGCAAACUUGACAGAUGUUUGGUUAAUGAUGCAUGAAACAAUUUCUUUCCAGGGGCUGGAGCACUUUUCUUAGAGCAUGGGGUUUCUGAUCACUCUGCCAUUGCUCUCAAAUGGCCGCAUAAUAUUGGUAAAAGGCACACACCCUUUAGGUUCUUCAAUCAUUGGAUUUUACAUGCUGAAUUCAAGGAGCUGGUUGUAGAAACGUGGAACUGUGAAGUAAUGGGAAACCCUAUGAUAAGAUUAUACUAUAAACUGAAGAUUCUUAAAGCUAAACUUAAAGAAUGGAGUAAGUCAAACUUCUUGGACUUAUAUAAUAGAGUGGUCCAAGGAAGGGAGGCAAUGAGCAGAAUCCAAACAGAAAUUCAAGUGCAUCCACUAUAUAGCAAUCUAGCAGCACUUGAGAAGGAAGCCAUCAGUGAAUAUAAAAGAUACGCUGCAACAGAGGAGUCAUCGCUACAACCAAAAACAAGUGCCAGUUGGGCUUGCUUGGGUGAUGAUAACACAAGUUUCUUCCACAAGAAAGUAAAAGGGUACCAAAUCAGAAACUCAAUACACAGUAUUGUGGAUCAACAAAGAACUCUGACUGAUAAGGAAGACAUUGCAAACCUCUCUGUUAGUCAUUUCAAACAGGUACAACUUGAUAGAGUGGUCCCAGAAGAGAUGAAACAAGCUAUGUGUGAGGAGGUUACUGAACAAGAGAUUAAACAUGCAAUUUUUGCCAUUCCUGAUGACAAGUCUGCUGGACCAGAUGGGUUCAAUUCUAAAUUCUAUAAAGCUUGCUGGGAAGUGGUAGGUGCAGGAUGUGACAAAGGCAAUACAAAAUUUCUUCAAUGCAGGUAAGAUGUUGAGAGGAGGUAAUACAACUCUUAUUAGUUUGAUUCCAAAGGUGCAAAUGCUAAAUAUAGUGAAGGAUUACAGACCAAUCUCAUGCUGCAACGUCAUAUACAAAGGGAUAUCUAAAUUCAUUGUAAACAGAAUCAAAGAUGCAAUGUCGGGACUCACUGAACCAAACCAAGGUACCUUCAUACAUGGGAGAAACAUAACAGACAAUAUUAUAAUUUCCCAUGAGCUGCUGCGCAAAUACAAGAGGAGGAAUUCAAGUGCUAGAUGUACUAUUAAGAUAGACAUACAAAAAGCAUAUGACUUCAUAAGAUGGAACUUAAUCAUUGAAGUGUUGAGUAUGAUGCGAUUCCUAGAAAAGAUGAUCAAUUGGAUCAAAGUAUGUUUAUCCACUGUACAUUACUCACUCUUAGUGAAUGGGAAGGUUGAAGGUUUCUUCAAGGGUGAUUUAGGUUUUGGUCACCACUUUUUAGUAUCAAUUUGGUUCUGGAGCCGGUUUUUAUCUUNNNNNNNNNNNNNNNNNNNNNNNNNNNNNNNNNNNNNNNNNNNNNNNNNNNNNNNNNNNNNNNNNNNNNNNNNNNNNNNNNNNNNNNNNNNNNNNNNNNNGAUGGCUGGAAUUACCUCUAAGCUGGCGUUUGUUACAAAAACUAUAUUAGGGUUAGUGAUCACGUGCAGAUCACGUGAGUUUCAGGGGUAAAAUUAGGUAUUUUGAAAAUAUUUUCGGUUCAACCGGGUUUUUUUAGUUGUUGGUUCGAAAAUGAGCUCUAAACCCUAAUAAAGAUAAAAACCGGCUCCAAAACCUAAUUUAUACUAAAAAGUGGUGACCAAAACCUAAAUCACCCUUUCUUCAAAGGUGAGAAGGGGCUCAGGCAAGGAGACCCUCUCUCACCUUUGCUCUUUGUGCUAGCAAUGGAAGUGUUUGGAAGCAUGCUGAAGACUCAAUACAAUGAAGGGAAUUUCUCACUGCACCCGAAAUGUAUGGAUCCUCUCAUUACCCAUUUAACAUUUGCGGAUGAUCUAAUGAUAUUUUGUAGGGCAAAAGUCGAGACAGCUGAGACAAUAAGAGACACUCUGGCACUCUUCUACAACUACUCAGGACUCACUAUCAACCCUCUCAAAAGCUCCAUCAUAUUUGGAGGUACAAAUGAAGUAACACAAGCCGAAUUUGCUCACCUUCUCAAUAUGCCAAUUGUGGAACCUCCAGUGGUGUAUCUAGGUUUGCCUCUCACUUCAACAAGGCUCCACAUCUCAGACUGUCAAGGGCUAACUGAAAGCUUCAAGAAGAAAAUUUCAAACUAGGUAAACAAGUUACUCUCCUUUGCUGGAAGGAUGCAGCUCAUUCAAUCAGUGCUUGCAAGCACUGCUGUUUAUUGGUUUAGAGUGUUUCUACUACCUCAAGCAGUAAUUACAGAGCUGAACAGAAUCUGCAGUAAGUUCCUAUGGUCUGGACCAGACAUGGGAAGGAAGAAGCACUAUGUUAGCUAGAAACAAUGUUGCCUAAGUAAGAAGGAAGGGGGACUUGGUAUGAAAAACAUGAAAGAAUGGAACCAAGCUUAUGUUGGGAAGAGUGCAUUUAAAAUUGCUACUAACAUUGAUUCUCUAUGGGUUAAGUGGGCUCACAAACACUUAAUCAAGAGAAAUUAUUAUUGGGCAAUGGAUAUUCCAGCUGACUGUUCUCAUGGGUGGAGGGGUAUUUUGAGUUGUAGAGAUAUAAUACAGUCUCAAGUUACUUUCCAAAUUGCCACAGGACAUGAUACUAAGGUAUGGCAUGACCCAUGGCUCGAAGGCGGUGUGCUCAGGAAAAGAGUUCAAACCAUUGACAGGAGGGCAUCAACCAUCAGAGAUAAUGCAAAUGUAAGCAUCCUCAUAAGAAAUAACUCCUGGAAUCUUCCUCAGACAGACAACAUAGCAGUGACAACACUUUGGAGUGAGAUACAAGAAGUGAAUAUCAAUAACAUGGAGGAGAAGGACACUAUAUGCUGGAGACCACACCCUAGGGGCAUCUACACAAUUAGAACUACUUACUGUAUGCUAAAACCAAGGGCUGUUAAGUUAAAAUGGAGUAACGUGGUGUGGAACAGAAGAAUCACUCCAAACCUGUUUUCAUCACAUGGCUGACAAUGCAAAAUAGACUCAUAACACAAGAUAAGUUGUACCAAUGGGGGCUACUGAAAGAAACAAAU